rnacentral:rRNA from 1 species
ACAGCAGUAGCCGCGGGAAAACGUAGGGUGCGAGCGUUAAUCGGAAUUACUGGGCGUAAAGCGUGCGCAGGCGGUUCGUUAAGACAGAUGUGAAAUCCCCGGGCUUAACCUGGGAACUGCAUUUGUGACUGGCGAGCUAGAGUAUGGCAGAGGGGGGUAGAAUUCCACGUGUAGCAGUGAAAUGCGUAGAUAUGUGGAGGAAUACCGAUGGCGAAGGCAGCCCCCUGGGAUAACACUGACGCUCAUGCACGAAAGCGUGGGGAGCAAACAGGAUUAGAUACCCCUGUAGUCCCUGUCUCUUAUAC